rnacentral:rRNA from 1 species
UUAAGUUAUUAAGGGCGCACGGUGGAUGCCUUGGCACUAGAAGCCGAUGAAGGACGUUACUAACGACGAUAUGCUUUGGGGAGCUGUAAGUAAGCUUUGAUCCAGAGAUUUCCGAAUGGGGAAACCCAGCAUGAGUUAUGUCAUGUUAUCGAUAUGUGAAUACAUAGCAUAUCAGAAGGCACACCCGGAGAACUGAAACAUCUUAGUACCCGGAGGAAGAGAAAGAAAAUUCGAUUCCCUUAGUAGCGGCGAGCGAAACGGGAAGAGCCCAAACCAACAAGCUUGCUUGUUGGGGUUGUAGGACACUCUAUACGGAGUUACAAAGGACGACAUUAGACGAAUCAUCUGGAAAGAUAAAUCAAAGAAGGUAAUAAUCCUGUAGUCGAAAAUGUUGUCUCUCUUGAGUGGAUCCUGAGUACGACGGAGCACGUGAAAUUCCGUCGGAAUCUGGGAGGACCAUCUCCUAAGGCUAAAUACUCUCUAGUGACCGAUAGUGAACCAGUACCGUGAGGGAAAGGUGAAAAGCACCCCGGAAGGGGAGUGAAAUAGAACCUGAAACCGUGUGCUUACAAGUAGUCAGAGCCCGUUAAUGGGUGAUGGCGUGCCUUUUGUAGAAUGAACCGGCGAGUUACGAUUUGAUGCAAGGUUAAGCAGUAAAUGUGGAGCCGUAGCGAAAGCGAGUCUGAAUAGGGCGUUUAGUAUUUGGUCGUAGACCCGAAACCAGGUGAUCUACCCUUGGUCAGGUUGAAGUUCAGGUAACACUGAAUGGAGGACCGAACCGACUUACGUUGAAAAGUGAGCGGAUGAACUGAGGGUAGCGGAGAAAUUCCAAUCGAACCUGGAGAUAGCUGGUUCUCUCCGAAAUAGCUUUAGGGCUAGCCUCAAGUGAUGAUUAUUGGAGGUAGAGCACUGUUUGGACGAGGGGCCCCUCUCGGGUUACCGAAUUCAGACAAACUCCGAAUGCCAAUUAAUUUAACUUGGGAGUCAGAACAUGGGUGAUAAGGUCCGUGUUCGAGAGGGAAACAGCCCAGACCACCAGCUAAGGUCCCAAAAUAUAUGUUAAGUGGAAAAGGAUGUGGCGUUGCCCAGACAACUAGGAUGUUGGCUUAGAAGCAGCCAUCAUUUAAAGAGUGCGUAAUAGCUCACUAGUCGAGUGACACUGCGCCGAAAAUGUACCGGGGCUAAACAUAUUACCGAAGCUGUGGAUUGUCCUUUGGACAAUGGUAGGAGAGCGUUCUAAGGGCGUUGAAGCAUGAUCGUAAGGACAUGUGGAGCGCUUAGAAGUGAGAAUGCCGGUGUGAGUAGCGAAAGACGGGUGAGAAUCCCGUCCACCGAUCGACUAAGGUUUCCAGAGGAAGGCUCGUCCGCUCUGGGUUAGUCGGGUCCUAAGCUGAGGCCGACAGGCGUAGGCGAUGGAUAACAGGUUGAUAUUCCUGUACCACCUAUAAUCGUUUUAAUCGAUGGGGGGACGCAGUAGGAUAGGCGAAGCGUGCGAUUGGAUUGCACGUCUAAGCAGUAAGGCUGAGUAUUAGGCAAAUCCGGUACUCAUUAAGGCUGAGCUGUGAUGGGGAGAAGACAUUGUGUCUUCGAGUCGUUGAUUUCACACUGCCGAGAAAAGCCUCUAGAUAGAAAAUAGGUGCCCGUACCGCAAACCGACACAGGUAGUCAAGAUGAGAAUUCUAAGGUGAGCGAGCGAACUCUCGUUAAGGAACUCGGCAAAAUGACCCCGUAACUUCGGGAGAAGGGGUGCUCUUUAGGGUUAACGCCCAGAAGAGCCGCAGUGAAUAGGCCCAAGCGACUGUUUAUCAAAAACACAGGUCUCUGCUAAACCGUAAGGUGAUGUAUAGGGGCUGACGCCUGCCCGGUGCUGGAAGGUUAAGAGGAGUGGUUAGCUUCUGCGAAGCUACGAAUCGAAGCCCCAGUAAACGGCGGCCGUAACUAUAACGGUCCUAAGGUAGCGAAAUUCCUUGUCGGGUAAGUUCCGACCCGCACGAAAGGCGUAACGAUUUGGGCACUGUCUCAACGAGAGACUCGGUGAAAUCAUAGUACCUGUGAAGAUGCAGGUUACCCGCGACAGGACGGAAAGACCCCGUGGAGCUUUACUGUAGCCUGAUAUUGAAAUUCGGCACAGCUUGUACAGGAUAGGUAGGAGCCUUUGAAACGUGAGCGCUAGCUUACGUGGAGGCGCUGGUGGGAUACUACCCUAGCUGUGUUGGCUUUCUAACCCGCACCACUUAUCGUGGUGGGAGACAGUGUCAGGCGGGCAGUUUGACUGGGGCGGUCGCCUCCUAAAAGGUAACGGAGGCGCUCAAAGGUUCCCUCAGAAUGGUUGGAAAUCAUUCAUAGAGUGUAAAGGCAUAAGGGAGCUUGACUGCGAGACCUACAAGUCGAGCAGGGUCGAAAGACGGACUUAGUGAUCCGGUGGUUCCGCAUGGAAGGGCCAUCGCUCAACGGAUAAAAGCUACCCCGGGGAUAACAGGCUUAUCUCCCCCAAGAGUUCACAUCGACGGGGAGGUUUGGCACCUCGAUGUCGGCUCAUCGCAUCCUGGGGCUGUAGUCGGUCCCAAGGGUUGGGCUGUUCGCCCAUUAAAGCGGUACGCGAGCUGGGUUCAGAACGUCGUGAGACAGUUCGGUCCCUAUCCGUCGUGGGCGUAGGAAAUUUGAGAGGAGCUGUCCUUAGUACGAGAGGACCGGGAUGGACAUACCUCUGGUGUACCAGUUGUCGUGCCAACGGCAUAGCUGGGUAGCUAUGUGUGGACGGGAUAAGUGCUGAAAGCAUCUAAGCAUGAAGCCCCCCUCAAGAUGAGAUUUCCCAACUUCGGUUAUAAGAUCCCUCAAAGAUGAUGAGGUUAAUAGGUUCGAGGUGGAAGCAUGGUGACAUGUGGAGCUGACGAAUACUAAUCGAUCGAAGACUUAAUCAA